rnacentral:misc_RNA from 1 species
GAAAUGCGAUAAGUAAUGUGAAUUGCAGAAUUCAGUGAAUCAUCGAAUCUUUGAACGCACAUUGCGCUCGCCAGUAUUCUGGCGAGCAUGCCUGUUCGAGCGUCAUUUUAACCAUCAAGCUCUGCUUGCGUUGGGGAUCCGCGGCUGCCCGCGGUCCCUCAAAAACAGUGGCGGGCUCGCUAGUCACACCGAGCGUAGUAACUCUACAUCGCUAUGGUCGUGCGGCGGGUUCUUGCCGUAAAACCCCCAAUUUCUAAGGUUGACCUCGGAUCAGGUAGGAAUACCCGCUGAACUUAAGC